rnacentral:lncRNA from 1 species
AGCAAGUGCAGUAUGGAAAUACCAACCUCAGUAUUCCAGAGUUCAGAGGGUUCUCAAAAGGAUUCCAAGGCAGUACACAUACUAGAUGGGGCAGAACUUAUUGACUAAGAGUAAAAUGAAAGUGAAGGACACAAGUUAAAAGGUUUUAGUAAGACUAUGCUUAACAAAAGUCUUUUCUUUUGAAAUAGUUUAAUAAAAACAAAAGAGGCUUGUUUGAAGAGAUGAACAGAAGUCAAAACACUUUAGGACAAUUUUUCACAUAGCUAGUUCAUAGAACCAAGUAAAUUCAGUAAUCACACACAGAAGUCAAGGGGUUUGGGACACAUAGAACAUUUGGCAGCAAAUAUAGAACCCAGCAAAGGUCGUAGGAUUGGUUUAGACAUGCUCAAUAACAACUGACACUAGCAUAGUCACAGAACUAGUCAGGAAGAACACAAACACAUAGAUGGGUGAUACAGAUUUGGGGAUCCAUGGGAUAUAUGAUGGUAAGUAUACAAUAAGUAGGAGACAAUUGGUAAGACAUGACUAGGAACAGACAUAAGGGGAAUGUAAUAAUCUAAAGGAAGAAGAAGACAAAAUAACAUGCUGAGAAUGUAACUCUUAACUACAAAUUUCACAACAGAACCACAAGUAGAAGCAAACCAGAAACAAGAGAAACUGAAACAAUAGGAGAAACAUGUUGUUUUUGGAACUUUAAAUUGAAACUAGGACAUACCAGUGAAGAGUAGAGUAAGCAGAAUGAAAUAACAAAAGAGAGAAAAUGGUUAGCCUUGGCUUGUAGCCGGCUAACAGUAGCAAAUAACAUAAGAGAGAGAGUUGAGAUUUUUAGUAAGAAAGGUAGCUUUUGAACUCAAACGUUCGUAUGUCAAUGUUAAUGAAAUAUCGGAGUAUAAUAGUUGAAAACGGGUAGUAAAAUAAGGUAAGAAUCAUAGUAGCAUGGUAAUUAAGGAUCUCAGAAUUAGUCAGUCAGCAAUCAUGGAAUGUACUCCCUUAAGCUAAGGGGAUUACUUCAAACGGUAAGAAUCAACAUAUAAUGCAAGAAAGAUCAGUAUGGGAUUAAUAAGGAAAGAUUAAAAGUUCAGCAAGCAUAGAGUAUUCAAUUAGGACUAUGUUCCGAAAAAUCCAAUUAAGGAAUUAUUUGGUAAAAAUAAAGUAC